AUUACCUCCCUUGGCCUCUAAUUAAAUUAUUAAAACUUUAACUUCAAUUUUCCAUAUUUCGCACAAUAUUUGUGAGCUGAAUUUGAAAAUCCCAACAACGUUUAAACUCAAGAUUAAAUCUACAACCUUACUUUCCUUAUUUCCAGGUAAUUAAUAUUUCCAUCCGUUAUAUCACUCAAAUACUAGCCAAAUUCUAAUUAGACGUGAAAGAACGUGAUUUAGGAAUCUGUAGAAACCACCUGGUACGAAGAAGUUUGUUUAUCCGCGGUCAACUUGGAAUUGCGUAACUUUAGAAAAAAUAAUUAGCCACGGAACCCGUGUCAGAAUGUUGAAGUUAAUUCCAGAGAUAAUCGUCGGAACUAUUCGGGGAGUGUUCUCGCGGAAGUUGAUCCUCGGCAAAUUUCGCGUAAAUCGUAGGAAAGAAGUCGAAAGGAGAGCGAGAGAAAGAUAAAGUUUUUCCGCUGCGUCUUCGAACUGUGCAAUUACUAACUAAUCGACCAAACUAAAGUUUAAGCCUUUCCUAACGAACACUAACAAAUUUUAACUAGAUGUCCUCUAUACGAACCAGCGAAAGUUGAAAUACGCUUUUCGUCGAUCAGGGACGACAUAAGAAGACAACCUGGCGACCUAGCCGUCGCGACCCAUUGUUCCCCGCUGGCCAACAACGAGCGAAGCAACAGCAACGGCAGCAACAGCACCAACGGCAGCACGAAUGCCAGUGGCAGUGCCGCCAGCAAAAGCUAUUCGCUCGAGCACCGCAUCCAGCGCGUGUCUACGCUCGGCCGGAGGCAUUUGGCUGCGCAACGAUCCUACCGAGGAUUAUUCGGAUGCCGUAGAAGCAUCUUCGCUGCCGCGGAAUGUGUCGAUCAGAAAAUCGGGGAUUCUAUGCCGCGAGCCGUCGCCUGUCCUCUCCGUGUCGUCGUAAAUGCAAACGCUGAAAUCGGCAGGAUUUUCAGACGAACGCUGACACCGCUGUAACCAAAUGAAUUACCAAAUGAAGGACGCGUUUGAGAUAUGAUACACUGAAUUCUGCUCUGCGAAUCAUCGCACAUUCACCUUUCAAUACUCGAAAUGAUCCCGAAUCUCUAACGUAAUAGUAACUUUCACAACACGAAAUCUGCUAUUGCUAUGGUAAAAUAUAUCGACAGGAGGCUCAAGAAAUCUUUACGACGAAAUAUGAAAUCACAAGUACCUACAACGCUAAGCUGAAACAACUUGUUUAAGAACACGAACACUCCAAGUAAUCCGCAGUGACGAGACGAAGCACAGACUCGUUUCUCCAGUCGAGCAAGAAACGGUUUCCGCUCUGUGCGGUUUUGCGCGGUCUAUUUGGCCGGCUAGAAGGGGGUCGAGUGGCCGAGAUUUUUCUUUCCGUGGCGAAGUUGCACGCGCUGCGGAGGAAGUCAGCGGGAACGCGGUUGUUACUGGAAGAUAAAUUAAGGAAGAAUACAACAAGGGUUGGAGGCAAACAGAAGAAGAAGAAAGGGCGGAAAGGAAAGUUCAUGAAUGCCACGAGGAGGCACGCACGCAUGCUUGCGUGCUGCCCGCGAAUUACAGAGCUCCUGUGUAUUUGUAUCUGUCUUUCCCCGACAGGCCGUUUUCCUUGCCCGCAUAAAUCAUCGGAAUUAGCGCAAUUUCGACGUCGAGUGGCCCGGAACAGUUUCUGUCUCUCUGCGUUUCUUCGCGGUAGGGGAGGAUUAAUGGACGCGACGCGCGGCGAGGAAUGAAAAUUCGACGAGCGACGAGUACCCCGGAGCAUCAUUAAGAGGAGGAACUCUGGAGAUGAAACGGGAAAGAGGGUUAAAACGAUCGACCUCAAAUUUUCCUCGUGGGAAAGAGAUAAAUCACUUUCGUGAAAAUAAGGUAGAAAAACGUUGUUGGAAAAGUUUUGUAACAUUGCGGAAAGGGUUAACAGCGAAAAAACAACGGAGAAAUAUUACCACCACGCGUGAUUGCGCGGUACUGUAUAAUUACGAAGACGUCCUUUCCUUUUUUAAUUCCUACUGUUCGUCAAACGAUACGCACCACGGUAGGAGGAAAGUGAGCUUGCCCAAAUAUGUAAUCGUCAAUUUUUAUAGCAUCUCCAAAAUGUCAAGUCAAAAAACUCAGAAAGCUGGAGACAUCACGAAAGAACGACAAUUUUGAUCCAACGUUCUUAUCUCGGCGUUCCUUUGGGGAAUGUUAAUUACCGUUUUCACGAUUUGCCAAGCGGAAUAGGAUAGUCAAACAACCGCUGAGCGAGAAGCAACGGAUCACAUCGGUGUGUCGCUUAUUAUUUUUAAUCUUAGCGAACCGGAUCUCUGCUUGUCUAACUGUGCACAUAUGUAGACAUACAGAGAGAGAGAGAGAGAAAGUCACAUAGAAACGCACACUUGUAACCGUUUCAACCCCUCUAUUUGAUACAGCGAAGGGGAGGAGGGUAAACGAGACUAACGCGCUAACGAUGCCAACGUUAAUUACCGGGCCGGAAAGACCGCCUAAUCGUUGAGCAAGUGCACGCGCUAAUUACGCGGGGCUGCUUGCUGAUCGAGCGAAUCGUACGGUUUCAGUCGGGAAUCGUGGAAGUGUGCCGGAGUUGCAUGUUUCUUGCGAUCUCGUUACUUUCACGAGGCUCUGACCGCGAUGAAAUUGACCUGACACGACCGGAAUACCGUUCGAUCGACGUUGUAUUCGUUCCUUUUUGUUUACGAGGUAAGUCGGCGGAAAAAGGAAAUAAUUCGGCUUCAAAAAGUUGAAACAUUAAAAUAUUUAAAGAAGCAAUUUUUAGUGAUGCCAGUUGAAAUAGGUGCAAGAAUUUGUUUUUUAACGCAUAGGUAAUUGAUACUUAAUUUCGAAAAAUAUUUUUUACUGGUUCGAGUACAAUCUUUUUACGAGGAUCACAGGAUAAAAAAGUGAAAAUUUUGUACGAAAAUAUUUAUUUUUUAUUUGUUGUUUUAAUACAAUUGUUAUGAAUGGUACCCUGGAUCUAUUUUUUAUCGAUUCGAGUGCUCUUUUUUAAAAGGCUCGAGAUAAAUUUUUUACCGUUGUUUUUCGCGUUUUAUCGCUUUAAAUAUAGGCUUUUGAAACUAAAAUUUAAUUUGAUAAAAGCGUUGAGGACUAUCGAAACAUCGAGGUAAUUGAUUUAAUAACGAACGCAUCGAGAAUAAGGACUUUCUUUUACGAGCUCUACUCCACAUCUAUUACCGUUCAGAUGCAUAGAUCCUCCGAUUGUGGGGGCGUGCGAUGAAUCGCGGGCAGAAGAGCGAGAACCAAUUCCUGCCAAUUUUUGUACGAAAGAUCCCACCGCGAUUUCGAUCGAUCCAACACUGAUAGCGUCUAGAAGUGGUGCCAGAGAAUGGAUAGAUAAUAUUGCCAAAGAAUGGAAGAACGCUGCCGACGAACACGCAUAGCCCGUUCGAAGGGCACGAUCCUACCAUCGUAGUUUUUAGAUUUAUUAAGAAACAAAAAAAAAAAGAAUUACAUUUAAAUUGUAACGUUUAGAAGGUUUCCUACAUAGCGACCACGUGGUAAAAAAUACCACGUGCAUCAAGUCUAACUGCUUAAGAACACAUGAAACAUACACAAACGCAGACAGACACGUACACAUUCCUACGCGUAGACACACAAAGACACACACGCGAAAUACGUGAAACUUAUUUGCAGUGAUAUCCGAUAUAUAUGUAAUUUUGUAAAUACACUGGUAUAAAUGACGAGGGACAAAGCGUUGUGAUUGGAAGGCGAAUUUGAGCUACGUAAAGCGAAAAAGAUAAUGCUCCUUUCUAUACUAACUUCCCAUGAAGCCCGUACGAAAAGAAAAUCUUCCCAAUGAUCAGAGUCAGGUAGAUCAACGAAUAGCGAGCCACGAGAGAGUAAAGCAUCGACUUUUUUUAACGAAAUACACGGAAUUAGUCACGUGAACCGUUUUCUCAUCGAGUGAUGUGUGAGCGUGCGAUUCGAUGAGUGAUCCGAGUGACAUCGCGAAGGGGUCAACCAAAUAUAUUUUAUAAAGUAUAAGCUAGAAAUUCUUUAUAACAAUUAGAUUGUAUUAUCUAUAAACAUGAAUUUUAAAAUCUUUUCUCUCAGCACAAAAUUGAUAUGGAAAGAAGAAUUAUACAUUUCCGAAAAUCAAUACGAAUAUUAUACUAAAAUUCUCGAUCAAC